UACGUAGGGUGCGAGCGUUGUCCGGAAUUAUUGGGCGUAAAGAGCUCGUAGGCGGUGUGUCACGUCGUUCGUGAAAACCUGCAGCUUAACUGUGGGCGUGCGGUCGAUACGGGCAUCACUGGAGUUCGGCAGGGGAGACUGGAAUUCCUGGUGUAGCGGUGAAAUGCGCAGAUAUACGAGGAGGAACACCGGUGGCGGAAGGCGGGUCUCUGGGACCGAGUGACUGACGCUGGAG
rnacentral:rRNA from 1 species